AGUCAUAGAGUUCAACAGAGUUCUUAUGGGUUUCAUCAACACAGGUUCAUGUAAAGUCAUAGAGUUCAACAGAGUUCUUAUGGGUUUCAUCAACACAGGUUCAUGUAAAGUCAUAGAGUUCAACAGAGUUCUCAGGGUUUCAUCAACACAGGUUCAUGUAAAGUCAUAGAGUUCAACAGAGUUCUUAUGGGUUUCAUCAACACAGGUUCAUGUAAAGUCAUAGAGUUCAACAGAGUUCUUAUGGUUUCAUCAACACAGGUUCAUGUAAAGUCAUAGAGUUCAACAGAGUUCUUAUGGGUUUCAUCAACACAGGUUCAUGUAAAGUCAUAGAGUUCAACAGAGUUCUUAUGGGUUUCAUCAACACAGGUUCAUGUAAAGUCAUAGAGUUCAACAGAGUUCUUAUGGGUUUCAUCAACACAGGUUCAUGUAAAGUCAUAGAGUUCAACAGAGUUCUUAUGGGUUUCAUCAACACAGGUUCAUGUAAAGUCAUAGAGUUCAACAGAGUUCUUAUGGUUUCAUCAACACAGGUUCAUGUAAAGUCAUAGAGUUCAACAGAGUUCUCAGGGUUUCAUCAACACAGGUUCAUGUAAAGUCAUAGAGUUCAACAGAGUUCUUAUGGGUUUCAUCAACACAGGUUCAUGUAAAGUCAUAGAGUUCAACAGAGUUCUUAUGGUUUCAUCAACACAGGUUCAUGUAAAGUCAUAGAGUUCAACAGAGUUCUCAGGGUUUCAUCAACACAGGUUCAUGUAAAGUCAUAGAGUUCAACAGAGUUCUCAGGGUUUCAUCAACACAGGUUCAUGUAAAGUCAUAGAGUUCAACAGAGUUCUUAUGGGUUUCAUCAACACAGGUUCAUGUAAAGUCAUAGAGUUCAACAGAGUUCUUAUGGGUUUCAUCAACACAGGUUCAUGUAAAGUCAUAGAGUUCAACAGAGUUCUCAGGGUUUCAUCAACACAGGUUCAUGUAAAGUCAUAGAGUUCAACAGAGUUCUUAUGGGUUUCAUCAACACAGGUUCAUGUAAAGUCAUAGAGUUCAACAGAGUUCUCAGGGUUUCAUCAACACAGGUUCAUGUAAAGUCAUAGAGUUCAACAGAGUUCUUAUGGGUUUCAUCAACACAGGUUCAUGUAAAGUCAUAGAGUUCAACAGAGUUCUUAUGGGUUUCAUCAACACAGGUUCAUGUAAAGUCAUAGAGUUCAACAGAGUUCUUAUGGGUUUCAUCAACACAGGUUCAUGUAAAGUCAUAGAGUUCAACAGAGUUCUUAUGGGUUUCAUCAACACAGGUUCAUGUAAAGUCAUAGAGUUCAACAGAGUUCUUAU